GAAAUGCGAUAAGUAGUGUGAAUUGCAGAAUUCAGUGAAUCAUCGAAUCUUUGAACGCACAUUGCGCCCCUUGGUAUUCCAUGGGGCAUGCCUGUUCGAGCGUCAUCUACACCCUCAAGCUCUGCUUGGUGUUGGGCGUCUGUCCCGCCCCCGCGCGUGGACUCGCCCCAAAUCCAUUGGCAGCGUUCCUUGCCCCCUCUCGCGCAGCACAUUGCGCUUCUCGAGGGCGGCUCCGGGACGCGAUCCAGCAAGAUGACCACCGUCUUUGACCUCGGAUCAGGUAGGAAUACCCGCUGAACUUAAGC
rnacentral:misc_RNA from 1 species